UUUUGGUCUUGUAAGCCAAAGGAUGAAGGUCACCCCCCCUCCUAGAGUU
rnacentral:tRNA from 1 species